AACGAACGCUGGCGGCAGGCCUAACACAUGCAAGUCGAACGAACCCUUCGGGGUUAGUGGCGGACGGGUGAGUAACACGUGGGAACGUGCCUUUAGGUUCGGAAUAACUCAGGGAAACUUGUGCUAAUACCGAAUGUGCCCUUCGGGGGAAAGAUUUAUCGCCUUUAGAGCGGCCCGCGUCUGAUUAGCUAGUUGGUGAGGUAAUGGCUCACCAAGGCUACGAUCAGUAGCUGGUCUGAGAGGAUGACCAGCCACAUUGGGACUGAGACACGGCCCAAACUCCUACGGGAGGCAGCAGUGGGGAAUCUUGCGCAAUGGGCGAAAGCCUGACGCAGCCAUGCCGCGUGGAUGAUGAAGGUCUUAGGAUUGUAAAAUCCUUUCACCGGUGAAGAUAAUGACUGUAGCCGGAGAUGAAGCCCCGGCUAACUUCGUGCCAGCCGCCGCCGUAAGAC
rnacentral:rRNA from 1 species